rnacentral:rRNA from 1 species
AUUGAACGCUGGCGGCAGGCCUAACACAUGCCAGUCGAGCGGAUGAAGGGAGCUUGCUCCUGGAUUCAGCGGCGGACGGGCGAGUAAUGCCUAGGAAUCUGCCUGGUAGUGGGGGAUAACGUCCGGAAACGGGCGCUAAUACCGCAUACGUCCGAGGGAGAAAGGGGGGGAUCUUCGGACCUCACGCUAUCCGAUGAGCCUAGGUCGGAUUAGCUAGUUGGUGGGGUAAAGGCCUACCAAGGCGACGAUCCGUAACUGGUCUGAGAGGAUGAUCAGUCACACUGGAACUGAGACACGGUCCAGACUCCUACGGGAGGCAGCAGUGGGGAAUAUUGGACAAUGGGCGAAAGCCUGAUCCAGCCAUGCCGCGUGUGUGAAGAAGGUCUUCGGAUUGUAAAGCACUUUAAGUUGGGAGGAAGGGCAGUAAGUUAAUACCUUGCUGUUUUGACGUUACCAACAGAAUAAGCACCGGCUAACUUCGUG